UGAAUACGAGAUGCUACGGCGUCGAAGCAGUGUAUGUCAUACUUCCAAGAAAAGCUCGCUAUGUCAUAAACAAUUAAUGCCUGUACCAUAACCGACACAGGUGGGUAGGUAGAGUAUACUAAGGGGCGCGAGAUAACUCUCUCUAAGGAACUCGGCAAAAUGACUCCGUAACUUCGGGAGAAGGAGUACCUUAUUUAUAAGGUUGCAAUAACAAGAUCCAAGCAACUGUUUACCAAAAACACAGGUCUCCGCUAAGUCGUAAGACGAUGUAUGGGGGCUGACGCCUGCCCAGUGCCAGAAGGUUAAAGAAGUUGGUUAGCAUUCGCGAAGCUGAUGACUGAAGCCCUGGUGAACGGCGGCCGUAACCAUAACGGUCCUAAGGUAGCGAAAUUCCUUGUCGGGUAAGUUCCGACCCGCACGAAAGGCGUAAUGAUUUGGAUACUGUCUCGGAGAGGGGCUCGGUGAAAUAGACUUGUCUGUGAAGAUGCGGACUACCUGCACCAGGACAGAAAGACCCUAUGAAGCUUUACUGUAACUUGAGAUUGAAAUUGGACUUUAUUUGUGCAGUAUAGGUGGGAGGCGUUGAAGAAAUUCUUGCGGGAAUUUUGGAGCCAUCAGUGAGAUACCACCCCUAUAAUGUUAGAUUUCUAACUUUGUAUCAUUAUCUGGUCAAAGAACAGUUUCAGGCGGGCAGUUUGACUGGCGGUCGCCUCCCAAAUGGUAACGGAGGCGUACAAAGGUUUCCUCUGAACGGGUAGAAAUCGUAUCUAGAGUAUAAAGGCAUAAGGAAGCUUGACUGUGAGACCUACAAGUCGAGCAGGGACGAAAGUCGGUCUUAGUGAUCUGACGGUGCUGAGUGGAAAGGCCGUCACUCAACGGAUAAAAGUUACUCUAGGAUAACAGGCUGAUCUCCCCCAAGAGUUCACAUCGACGGGGAGGUUUGGCACCUCGAUGUCGGCUCAUCGCAUCCUGGGGCGGUAGUACGUCCCAAGGGUUGGGCUGUUCGCCCAUGAAAGCGGUACGCGAGCUGGGUUCAGAACGUCGUGAGACAGUUCGGUCCAUAUCCGGUGUAGGCGUUAGAAUAUUGAGAGGAGCCUUCUUUAGCACGAGAGGACCGAGAAGGACAUACCUCUGGUGUACCUGUUAUCGUGCCAACGGUAAACGCUGGGUAGCUAUGUAUGGAGUGGAUAACCGCUGAAAGCAUCUAAGUGGGAAGCCCACCUCAAGAUAAG
rnacentral:rRNA from 1 species